UAAUAAAUAGUUUAGAAAAGAUAAAAGAAGUUUGCUUUGAUUAUUAUGUUGUGGCUAAUGAAGCAGCUAAAAAGUCCUAUAAAUUCUUCGGUAAUAUUGUAUGAGCGAUUAAAAGUAAUUUUAAGUUCAGUAACAAUGUAUUUUAAUAAAUCUUUUUUUUAGUUAUUUGUGAUAGAUUAUUACCUCCGCCUAAAUUAUCACCUCCCCCAUUGAAAACUCAAAACGAGGUUGCGCUUUCUGGUUAUAGCUGUUAGAUGUGUUCCUAAAACCUUACAUAACAUAACAUAAUUAACAUAAACAUAAACAACGAAAAUGACGCUUCGAGGACAAGAAUUCGAGAAAUAAAGUUUACUUGGUCUUUUGUGAUGUUCCAAUUCCAUUUUUUUGAAAGUGACUCAUCAUGUUAAAGUGUGAUGUUUUCUGAAUGACUUUAUGUGAUAGUGUGAACGUUUUCUGAUUGGCAGAAGGAUUUUCAGUUUUCUUUUUGCCCCAAUUUGUCAGUCUGGUGCUAAAAAGAUUGAUUUCAAUUUUCUCAAAUACGAGCAGACAAUUUAGAAAGAAGAAUCUCAAGUGUUUUAAUAAAUUUGAUUUUCAUUCAAAGUCAAUCUCAUGUAGGUAGUGGGUACAAAACAAUAUCAACAUAUUCGUCCCAAUUUGUUUGAUUUUCAUUAAUUAAUUUCAUUAAUUUUCUUAACUUUCUAAAAGUACAAAAAGCGUUAAUAUUUAAUAACUGACAUGAAAAUCUAAAUAAUUUUGUAAUAUACAUAUAA